AAUAAUAAUAAUAAAUACAAAAAGAAAAAGAAAAUAACAAACAAUAAACAAUGCAGCUUCUUCUAUUUACAUGUU
rnacentral:ribozyme from 12 species